GAAACAAUACGUCAGCGGUCUCAAAUAUAAGGCGGAUCACGGUAAUCAUGUCUAAACUUUUUAGCUUAUCUACGCAAUGAAGCUAAUUUGAAAGAGCAGUUUGAGAAGAAAUCGGCCCUGUCGACUCAUAAAGAUGCUGUUAUCAAAAGGAUAAAAGCCAUAUUCCAAGAAGGAACAAAGAAUGAUAGGUUGCAGUCGGCAAGCACAGUAGUUUGAGGUUAGUAUCGCCAAGACUUGAAGAUGGAAAUUUCAUUCAUGUUGGUAAUACUAUGGGAUUAAAGAAAAUGUCAUUUCAAAUCCAAACCUACCCC